ensembl:lncRNA
CAUCCUGGGAUACCGCAGUCAGUACCGAAGUCGCAAAUCCGGAACUGACUCAGCUGACUUUGGCUGAUUUGCGUCCGGCCGAGCAGUACAACCUUCGCAUGUUCGCCAUCAACAGCGUGGGCAUGAGCGAGGCCAGCAACGUUCUGACCGUCACAACUAAAGAAGCCGCGCCAGCGUCUCCUCCCCUGGACAUGCAGCUGAAGGGCCUCACUCCUCACAGCAUCCAGGUCACUUGGAAGCCGCCGAGGCUCGAUCACAGAAACGGGAUUCUUCGGAGUUACAGCGUGAGCUACAGGGAGUACGACGCCGCCGGCCGGCACUUCAAAAGGUGGCAGCACUCAAGUGUGGCGGCCACGCGGGACGUGGAGAGCGUCGUCCUGAGCAACCUGAGGCCUUCUACCGCGUACGGCGUGAUUGUACAGGCCAAAAACAAUGCAGGAGUAGGACCCGCAUCGACGGCACCGCUCUGCUCCACUCUGGAUGAAGUCAAAACGUCGACAGCUUCAACUAUCAAAUCGUCUUCCUCUGCGGCCACAAUCUGGAUGCAGGAGACUACGCGUUCCACCUCAGGUCACAUAACUUCAACAACUGAGACUGUUACUGCUGCCACUGGUGGGAGAGAAAGUACCGCAGGAACCUCGUCAGUGCUCCCGGAUCCCCCAGUGAUCUACUUAACGGAGGUCAAAGACAGCACGAUUUCCCUCUUCUGGAUUCCCGGCUUUGGGGGCGACACCGACAUCACCGGCUAUUACCUGGAGUGUAAAGCAGUGAACGCCUCGUGGGAUAACACAAAGAUGGUUGUUGACUUUAGUGCCAACCAGACAGAGGCCACAGUAAUAGAGAUGUAUCCCUCAACAUACAACAUCCGCAUGUUUGCCCAGAACAGUCUGGGCACCAGUAAAGCCAGCAAUAUCCUCACCAUCACCACCAGAGAAGCAGGUCAUGGGAGGGAUGAUCUCCUCACCACCGUAUCUAUGGACACUCAUGCUGCUGCAAGUGUGGAGGAGAGUAAAAGUCAUCACCUAGCAGCCACCGUGGUGCCAUUGGUGCUGGUGGUGACGGCUGUUGCCAUAGUAGCCAUGUGGCAGCUGCGGCGAAUAAAACAGAAAAAAGGCAGCCUGAGCAUGUGGCUGACCAACGAAGCUCUACGUCACAGAGGCGCAGAGUCACUACAAGAGCUGUAAAACUUGUUGCCCACUAUUUAGCCUACAAGUCAAACAUGCAGAGGCCUUUUUUUCAAAAUUUGCAAAAUGAGGUUAUAAAUGUUUACAUUUUAUGUCAUUAAGAGAAAAAAAACGUGUGUUGUGUUGAUCAAACUAAUCGUUUUUUUCUCUAAACUCUCGAUACCAGAAAUGAAGUUAGUCUGGUUGUUUCUUCUCUUUCUAACAAUAUGUAUCAGUUUAUGCUCUA